UAGGGAAUCUUCCACAAUGGACGCAAGUCUGAUGGAGCAACGCCGCGUGAGUGAAGAAGGGUUUCGGCUCGUAAAGCUCUGUUGUUAAAGAAGAACAUAUCUGAGAGUAACUGUUCAGGUAUUGACGGUAUUUAACCAGAAAGCCACGGCUAACUACGUGCCGG
rnacentral:rRNA from 1 species